UACGUAGGGGGCAAGCGUUGUCCGGAAUCAUUGGGCGUAAAGCGCGCGUAGGCGGCCCGGUAAGUCCGCUCUGAAAGUCCAGGGCUCAACCCUGGAAAGCGGGUGGAUACUGCCGGGCUAGAAUCCGGAAGAGGCGAGUGGAAUUCCUGGUGUAGCGGUGGAAUGCGCAGAUAUCAGGAGGAACACCAAUAGCGAAGGCAGCUCUCUGGGACGGUACUGACGCUGAGACGCGAAAGCGUGGGGAGCGAACAGG
rnacentral:rRNA from 1 species